rnacentral:rRNA from 1 species
UACAGAGGGUGCGAGCGUUGUUCGGAAUUAUUGGGCGUAAAUCGCUUGUAGGCGGCUUGUUAAGUUCCGUGUGAAAUCCCCAGGCUUAACCUGGGAAGUGCGCGGAAAACUGGCGAGCUUGAGUGCCGGAGAGGGUCGCGGAAUUCCCGGUGUAGAGGUGAAAUUCGUAGAUAUUGGGAAGAACACCGGUGGCGAAGGCGGCGAGCUGGUCCAUUACUGACGCUGAGGCGCGACAGCGUGGGGAGCAAACAGG